CAGCCGCCGCGGGAAUACGAAGGGGGCUAGCGUUGUUCGGAUUUACUGGGCGUAAAGGGCGCGUAGGCGGGCGAAUAAGUCAGGGGUGAAAUCCCAAGGCUCAACCUUGGAACUGCCUUUGAUACUGUUUGUCUUGAGUUCGAGAGAGGUAAGUGGAACUGCGAGUGUAGAGGUGAAAUUCGUAGAUAUUCGCAAGAACACCAGUGGCGAAGGCGGCUUACUGGCUCGAAACUGACGCUGAGGCGCGAAAGCGUGGGGAGCAAACAGGAUUAGAGACCCCUGUAGUCCCUGUCUCUUAUAC
rnacentral:rRNA from 1 species